AGUGAACGCUGGCGGUAGGCCUAACACAUGCAAGUCGAACGGCAGCACAGUAAGAGCUUGCUCUUACGGGUGGCGAGUGGCGGACGGGUGAGGAAUACAUCGGAAUCUACUUUUUCGUGGGGGAUAACGUAGGGAAACUUACGCUAAUACCGCAUACGACCUACGGUUGAAAGCAGGGGAUCUUCGGACCUUGCGCGAUUGAAUGAGCCGAUGUCGGAUUAGCUAGUUGGCGGGGUAAAGGCCCACCAAGGCGACGAUCCGUAGCUGGUCUGAGAGGAUGAUCGGCCACACUGGAGCGGAGACACGGACCAGGGUCCUGAGAGAGGCAGCAGUGGGGAAUAUUAGACAGUGGGCGCAAGCCUGACCCAGCCAUACCGCGUGGGUGAAGAAGGCCUUCGGGUUGUAAAGCCCUUUUGUUGGGAAAGAAAAGCAGCAGGUUAAUACCCCGCUGUUCUGACGGUACCCAAAGAAUAAGCACCGGCUAACUACGU
rnacentral:rRNA from 1 species